rnacentral:rRNA from 1 species
UCCCCAGACUCCUACGGGAGGCAGCAGUGAGGAAUAUUGGUCAAUGGGCGGGAGCCUGAACCAGCCAUGCCGCGUGAAGGCGAGUGCCCUACGGGCGUUAAACUUCUUUUGUGCGGGAGCAAUAAGGGCCACGCGUGGCCCGAUGAGAGUACCGCACGAAUAAGCAUCGGCUAACUCCGUGCCAGCAGCCGCGGUAAUACGGGGGAUGCGAGCGUUAUCCGGAUUUAUUGGGUUUAAAGGGUGCGCAGGCGGAGGUGCAAGUCAGCGGUCAAAUUGCGGGGCUCAACCCCGUACUGCCGUUGAAACUGCAUCCCUUGAGUGGGCGAGAAGUACGCGGAAUGCGUGGUGUAGCGGUGAAAUGCAUAGAUAUCACGCAGAACUCCGAUUGCGAAGGCAGCGUACCGGCGCCCAACUGACGCUGAAGCACGAAGGCGUGGGUAUCGAACAGGAUUAGAUACCCGAGUAC